AUACGUAGGGAGCGAGCGUUGUCCGGAAUUACUGGGUGUAAAGGGUGCGUAGGCGGGACUGCAAGUCAGAUGUGAAAUGCCGGGGCUCAACCCCGGAGCUGCAUUUGAAACUGUGGUUCUUGAGUGAGGUAGAGGGAAGCGGAAUUCCUAGUGUAGCGGUGAAAUGCGUAGAUAUUAGGAGGAACAUCGGUGGCGAAGGCGGCUUACUGGGCCUGUACUGACGCUGAGGCACGAAAGCGUGGGGAGCAAACAGGAUUAGAUACCCUGGUAGUCCACGCUGUAAACGAUGAUGACUAGGUGUGGGGUGACUGAACCCUUCCGUGCCGCAGUUAACACAAUAAGUCAUCCACCUGGGUAGUACGGCCGCAAGGUUGAAACUUAAAGGAAUUGACGGGG
rnacentral:rRNA from 1 species